rnacentral:rRNA from 1 species
AUUGAACGCUGGCGGCAUGCCUUACACAUGCAAGUCGAACGGUAACAGGCCGCAAGGUGCUGACGAGUGGCGAACGGGUGAGUAAUGCAUCGGAACGUGCCCAGUCGUGGGGGAUAACUGCUCGAAAGAGGAGCUAAUACCGCAUAAGACCUGAGGGUGAAAGCGGGGGACCGUAAGGCCUCGCGCGAUUGGAGCGGCCGAUGUCAGAUUAGAUAGUUGGUGGGGUAAAGGACUACCAAGGCAACGAUCUGUAGUUGGUCUGAGAGGACGACCAGCCACACUGGGACCGAGACACGGCCCAGACUCCUACGGGAGGGAGCAGUAGAGAAUUUUGGACAAUGAGCGCAAGCCUGAUCCAGCAAUGCCGCGUGCAGGAAGAAGCAUCUAUUGUGUGUAAACUGCUUUUGUACAGGAAGAAACACCCCAACGUGUCGGGGCUUGACGUUACUGUAAGAAUAAGGAUCGGCUAACUCCGUGCCAGCCGCCGCCGUAAAAC